GUCAAUAGCCAUACUAACCCGAACACAUCCAAUCUUAUUUGAUCUCAGAAGCUAAGCAGGAUUGGGCCUGGUUAGUAUAUGAAUGGGAGUUUAACUAGCUUUAUGUAUAGCAUCUGGCCUUUGCUGAAU
rnacentral:rRNA from 1 species